rnacentral:tRNA from 1 species
GGAGGUGCGGCUCAAGUGAUAGAGCACCUGUCUGUCAAAUGCAAGACCCUGAGUUCAAAUCUCAGUUCUGCCA